rnacentral:tRNA from 1 species
AUAAAGGUAAGCUAAAUUUUAAGCUAAUGGGUUCAUACCUCAUUUAUGAAGGUUUAUUCUUCUCUUUGUA